GGUGCACGGUCCAUCUCUGCCCUGUGUCUGGGAGCUGGGUCUGUCUGCUUUUGCAUUCAGACCUCACCGUUCACACAAGCAGUCAUAGCCACAGAGCGCCUUGGCCCCAGCCCUGGCGUAGUGCCGUCUCUGUGGGCAGGUCUACCGGCACCAGCUUCACAGUCCUGCACACAG
rnacentral:snoRNA from 1 species